UACGUAGGGUGCGAGCGUUGCCCGGAUUUAUUGGGCGUAAAGGGCGCGUAGGCGGCCACGCACGUCCGUUGUGAAAUCGCCCGGCUCAACUGGGCGGGGUCGGCGGAUACGGCGUGGCUGGAGCAAGCUAGGGGGCAAUGGAAUUCCCGGUGUAGUGGUGGAAUGCGUAGAUAUCGGGAGGAACACCAGUGGCGAAGGCGGUUGCCUGGAGCUUUGCUGACGCUGAGGCGCGAAAGCGUGGGGAGCGAUCCGG
rnacentral:rRNA from 1 species